rnacentral:rRNA from 1 species
AAGCGUUCAUGACCAGACUUGGGCAGGUUGAUCAUCCGUGGUUCUCCGCGGUGCACUCUGCCUGCCCAGGCCAGCAUCAGUUUUCGCCGGGGGAUAAAGGCUUCGGGAAUGUGGCUCUCUCCGGGGAGUGUUAUAGCCCGUUGCGUAAUACCCUGGCGGGGACUGAGGUUCGCGCAUCUGCAAGGAUGCUGGCGUAAUGGUCAUCAACGA